ensembl:lncRNA
GCGUACAUGGCAUCCAGGUCAUUUUAGAGACUAUAAUAGCGUACAUGGCAUCCAGGUCAUUUUAGAGACUAUAAUAGUGUACAUGGCAGCCAUGCCAUUUUAGAGACGACAAUACUGUACAUUGCAUCCAGGUCAUUUAGAGACUAUAAUACUGUACAUGGCAUCCAGGUCAUUUUAGAGACUAUAAUAGUGUACAUGGCAUCCAGGUCAUUUUAGAGACUGUUUCUGUACAUGGCGUCCAGGUCACUUUAGAGACUAUAAUAGUGUACAUGGCAUGCAGGUCAUUUUAGAGACUAUAAUAGUGUACAUGGCAUCCAGGUCAUUUUAGAGACUAUAAUACUGUCCAUGGCAUCCAGGUCAUUUUAGAGACUAUAAUAAC